rnacentral:lncRNA from 1 species
AGAAACUGCAGGUGAGCCAUCCAAGGAGCCUCUAGCGGGCUGUUCCACUCCCUGCUCAGCACCGAGAAAUCCCCCGACGCUUGUCCCUGGUCACACGGGCCAUCACCUUGGCUCUUUCAGGAGUCCCUCUUUGGAAACUGCCUUUCCCCCAUUACCGCAGACUUACUUAACGGCUCCUCAGCGCUUUCACGAGCCUUAGCAUUCCUCCAUCGCUACCCCACGUUGUACUGUCAUUUAUCUGUGCUACAGUUCUCUGGAGGGCAGGUGGCAUGUCUGACUAAUUUCAGUAUCCUCACAGCCUGAUAGAGGGCCAAUCAGUCAAAGAAAAGAACUUCCGCCUCCCUGGAACCUUCCCCAGUUACGCCGGGCCUCAUGAUCCCUGGGUGCCCACUUGGGUGCUUGUUCUGGAUACCUCCCUUCUGAAGCGCCCAUUUCCAACACCUGAUGCAAGGGCAGCAGGCCUUUACCAGCCUGUGGUUUCGGGCACAUCCUUUAAACUCCCAGAACCUGAGGCUGCUGUAAGAUGAGGGUCAGAAACAGACUUGACUUGUAGGUUUUUAAACCACACAAUACACAGAUUAAGAUGGCCUUCCCAUCCUAACAGGGGGCUCUUCCGUCCCAGGGACUCUUCCCUUCCUUCUCCCUGCCUCAGGCUGACUACUUUCCCAGGGGCAGCAGGGUCUUCUCACCCCUGCACCCAACCCCUCAGGAGCAUCAAGGACACCAGCUCCUUCAUUUGCUGAUCUUUCUCUAAUUCUUGAAGCCCUGGAUAAUGUCUUGCAUGUGGACAUAUUUUUAUAAUUACAGCUACCCCAGUAAAGUGUUUCAGAGACUAACAUCUUGGGAAAAGGUGCAUAAAGUUCUGUGUCUGUGUUGUCCAUGUUUUCCACAAUGAACGUGUACUUCUUUUAUAAAAUCAGUAAGAUCAUCACAUGAUAUAUGGAAAAUCCUAAUAAUAACCUCUCGUGACAUAUAUUUUCUCACUCACUUCAUGGCUGCUCUAGUGAGGAAGCAAUUAUUACUCCCAUAUUGCAGAUGGAAAAACUGAGGCUUGUUGAGGUUAAGUGGCAAGCAAGAAUUCAACCCUGGGAUGGAGUAUAGAGUUGAAGCUUGUUUGUGGUGCUACCACACACCGCCUCUGACCUUGCAUCCGGAGAAAGUCAAGGUCCAGACAUCAAGAUUCAGCCUCACAAGGCCAAAUGCAGGCUGAAGAGGAAAACUAACCAGAAAAACCCAGACAGUCAAGGAAAAGAAAUUCAGUCUUCAAGGCCAAACACAGACUGGUGGGAAGAUGACAACCAGCAAGGCCACAUCCUCCCCCUUCCCUACCUAAAACCCCAGACAAAAAAGCCCUGCCUUUUUCCCCUCGAGGAGGAGGAUCUGAGUUCUGACUCCCAUGUCCUCAUCUGGCUGCCUUUCUAUAGUAAACCUCUUUCCUUGCCACAAGUCUGAUGUUUCAGUUAUUGGCCCUAUUUUGCAGCAGGUAAAAGAUCCUGUGUUUGGGUUCCCCACC